rnacentral:siRNA from 1 species
GCAGCCAUUGUAAAUAAGUCU